AUUGAACGCUGGCGGCAGGCCUAACACAUGCAAGUCGAGCGGUAACACAGGGAGCUUGCUCCUGGGUGACGAGCGGCGGACGGGUGAGUAAUGUCUGGGAAACUGCCUGAUGGAGGGGGAUAACUACUGGAAACGGUAGCUAAUACCGCAUAACGUCGCAAGACCAAAGAGGGGGACCUUCGGGCCUCUUGCCAUCAGAUGUGCCCAGAUGGGAUUAGCUAGUAGGUGGGGUAAUGGCUCACCUAGGCGACGAUCCCUAGCUGGUCUGAGAGGAUGACCAGCCACACUGGAACUGAGACACGGUCCAGACUCCUACGGGAGGUAGCAGUGGGGAAUAUUGCACAAUGGGCGCAAGCCUGAUGCAGCCAUGCCGCGUGUAUGAAGAAGGCCUUCGGGUUGUAAAGUACUUUCAGCGAGGAGGAAGGCAUUAAGGUUAAUAACCUUGGUGAUUGACGUUACUCGCAGAAGAAGCACCGGCUAACUCCGUGCCAGCAGCCGCGGUAAUACGGAGGGUGCAAGCGUUAAUCGGAAUUACUGGGCGUAAAGCGCACGCAGGCGGUCUGUCAAGUCGGAUGUGAAAUCCCCGGGCUCAACCUGGGAACUGCAUUCGAAACUGGCAGGCUAGAGUCUUGUAGAGGGGGGUAGAAUUCCAGGUGUAGCGGUGAAAUGCGUAGAGAUCUGGAGGAAUACCGGUGGCGAAGGCGGCCCCCUGGACAAAGACUGACGCUCAGGUGCGAAAGCGUGGGGAGCAAACAGAUUAGAUACCCUGGUAGUCCACGCCGUAAACGAUGUCGACUUGGAGGUUGUUCCCUUGAGGAGUGGCUUCCGGAGCUAACGCGUUAAGUCGACCGCCUGGGGAGUACGGCCGCAAGGUUAAAACUCAAAUGAAUUGACGG
rnacentral:rRNA from 1 species